AUUGAACGCUGGCGGCAUGCUUUACACAUGCAAGUCGAACGGCAGCGCGGGCUUCGGCCUGGCGGCGAGUGGCGAACGGGUGAGUAAUGCAUCGGAACGUGCCCAGUAGUGGGGGGUAGCCCGGCGAAAGCCGGAUUAAUACCGCAUACGACCUGAGGGUGCAAGCGGGGGACCGAAAGGCCUCGCGCUAUUGGAGCGGCCGAUGUCGGAUUAGCUAGUUGGUGGGGUAAAGGCUUACCAAGGCGACGAUCCGUAGCUGGUCUGAGAGGACGACCAGCCACACAGGGACUGAGACACGGCCCAGACUCCUACGGGAGGCAGCAGUGGGGAAUUUUGGACAAUGGGGUCAACCCUGAUCCAGCCAUGCCGCGUGCGUGAAGAAGGCCUUCGGGUUGUAAACCGCUUUUGUUCGGGAAGAAAUCCUCUGGGCUAAUACCCCGGGGGGAUGACGGUACCGGAAGAAUAAGCACCGGCUAACUACGUG
rnacentral:rRNA from 1 species